UGAGAACCCUGAAGUAGGAUGAGGGCAGGCUGGGACAUUGGAACCGUAAAUGUUACUGCAUAGUCAACUCUUGGGGGAGAGAAGAGUACCAGUUGGUGAAGCAGCCAAGGACACACUCCAACAGCUGUAGCAAAAUAAGGAUUAGCCUGAUGAUAGAAAGCGGACUGGAGUUUUUCUUCGUCCCUGCUACCUUUUGCAAUGUUGACAGACCGAUGGCUCUUCAGAAAGACUGAUCUCAGCUGAGGCUGGAGAAGUUGGCAGAGCACGCUUUCCCACUCUUAGCUUUACCUCGCCAUCUUUCUGGGCCCAAAAGUCAUCUUUUUUUGGGUGCACAGCCUUCUGCUGGGAUGACCCCAGCUAGCUUCCAGGGGUAUCACUGAGAAGGUUUGCUGGCUUGUGUUGUAUGUCUGUGAAAAUAGAAGAUUUGGGCCGGGAUUAAGGCUGAAAGAUUGAUGGAGCCCAGACAGCUGCAACCUGAGAAGGGAAGAGAGAAAGAAGUGAGUGCAGCAAAAGCAUCUUGCUUUUCUGGAGGAAAAUGAUGGGAAUGUCAUCGAAAACCUACUUUGGUGGAUUGUGGAACUACAGCCACCAACCUCUUCUUAAAUUGAUGCUAUAAAAUGUCUGAUGCGGGCCCUCCCUGGUGGUGCAGCGGGUUAAAGCACAGCACUAAGAAGCUUAAGCCACUUCAGCAUG